UUUCAGGAAGUUUCUAAUUUUGAGAAUGCACAACCAAAAAGAAAGUCAAUCCAGAGAUCUAUGUCUGAAAACAAAGGAUUUG